UACGUAGGGGGCAAGCGUUGUCCGGAAUCAUUGGGCGUAAAGAGCGUGUAGGCGGCCAUUCAGGUCAGCUGUGAAAACUCGAGGCUCAACCUCGAGACGUCGGUUGAAACCGUUUGGCUAGAGUCCGGAAGAGGAGAGUGGAAUUCCCGGUGUAGCGGUGAAAUGCGCAGAUAUCGGGAAGAACACCCGUGGCGAAGGCGGCUCUCUGGGACGGUACUGACGCUGAGACGCGAAAGCGUGGGGAGCGAACAGG
rnacentral:rRNA from 1 species